rnacentral:lncRNA from 1 species
CAACAUUAUAGAAAAUUUUAAAAAGGAAAGAAACCAUUUGCAAUUCUCUCGUUCUGUCUUAAAACUUAUCACUUCAAUCUAUUCUCUUCUAAAUUUUCCAUAUAUACAUUUUGUGCAUUUUAAAUCACAGUGCAUGCAUAAUUUUUUUCUAAAAAUUGAUUGAUUCCAGAGUUCCCAUCGUGGCUCAGUGAUUAACGAAUUCGACUAGGAACCAUGAGGUUGAGGGUUCGAUCCCUGGCCUUACUCAGUGGGUUGAGGAUCCAGCGUUGCCGUGAGCUGUGGUAUAGGUCACAGACACGGCUCGGAUCCCGAGUUGCUGUGGUGUAGGCUGGCAGCUACAGCUCCGAUUAGACCCCCCAGCCUGGGACCUCCAUAUGCCAUGGGAGUGGCCCUAGAAAAGACAAAAAAAUUUUAAAAAUUACAAAAAUUAAAAUUGUAUGAUUCCAUUGAAUGAAAUAUUUACACAGUUCACAUGAACAUUCUGUUCCAAUACUAAAUCUUUCAACCGUUUGAAUAGAACUCUGGCAAGUAUAUUCAUGCAUCUAACACUUUCACAUUUCAGAUUAUUUUUAUAGAUUAUCAUCCCAGAAGAGGUAUUAAUGUGUCAAAGGAGGUAACCACUUUAUGACACCUAACACAUAUUAUCAAAUUUCACAUCAUGGCUUUCCCUAAAAAAAAAGUUUCCAGUACCUUCCUCAUGCAAAGCGUUUUGUUAGCUUUUGAGGAAGAAAUGAGAAAAAAGAAUGUAUACAUGUAUAUGUAACUGGGUCGCCAUGCUGUACAGUAGAAAAAAAAAUUGUAUUGGGGAAAUAAGAAUAAAAAAGUUUUAAAAAAAUACACUCUUUGCCCUGAAAAUCAUGUAGUCCAUUUGGGGAAAUAAGACAUAUGCCUGUGAAGAGAGAACUAAUUAUCAACUACACAGAUUCAGAGAAGAAAGACCAAGAUCAAAUUUCGGCAGCAGUGGCUCAAGAGUUAGAUCUUUAAUUGAGUCUGAGGACAGUCCUCGGGUUGGGUGAGUUGAACUGGGAGGAUAUCCAGCUGGUAAAUAGUGUGACAAGGAAGGAAAUUAAGCAAUCUAAGGAAUUCCCUGUGACUCAAAAGCACCAUGUGAAUAAAUUUAAUUUAUUAGCCAGAUACACAUGGAUUACAAUCUCCCCAAAGGUAGUUCUGUUACCAGUAAUAGGGUUACUCAUCCUUAUCCUUGAAACUUUUUCUUCUCUUAUUACAUCUGAUGUGAUGAUAUAGAGGUUUCCCUUCUCUGCCUCUAACCAGUCCUCUUCUCUCUUUUAAGUUCCUCUAACAAUCCUUUUAAAUAAGGCAUUUCUCAAAGUCCUCCUCUAGUCCUUUUCUUCCUGUAGGUAAUGUCACUUGAUCUGCUGUCUCCAGCCAUUACUUCUUGUUGCUAACUCCUCAAUCUCUAUUUCAGGCUCUCAAUUCUCCUUUUUAGUCUGAUACAUUUCCACCUUCCACUGACAGCAUUUGAAAUCCAACAAGUCCAAAACUGAACUCUUUCUGUGUGCUCCCAAUCAUGUGAAAGAAGCUACACAGUUCAGAAGCAACAUCAUCUUUGAUAUUUGUUUCAUCCUCACAGUUCACAUUCAAUCAAGUUUCCAAAUUUGGCCCCAGCCUCACAGUGGAUCCCAAUUUCUUCUUACUGUAGGCCAUAAAAAUCUCUCACCUAGAAUACUGUGAGGAUUCCUUUCUGAUCUGAUUGCCUCCAGCCUCAUCCCCUUCGAUCUGUGCUCUACCCCAUUACCAGGUACCUUCCUAAAGCACAUAACCGAUUGUGUCACUUGUCUAUGUAAGGACUUCCAAUAGGUGCAGUCACCUGGAAGAGUGAAUUCCAGAUACAUUAACUUAUCUCCUCUGGUCCUUUAUGACUUGGGCCCACUCUACUUCUCUAAUUCCAUCUCCCCACACUACACCUGUCUACACACACCUACCCACCCACACACACACUGCACUUUGGACCAUUUAAAAUUCACUGAAAACAAACAUGGACUUUAACCCAGAUGAACAUUUUCUUCUGCAGUUUCCUUUGAGUUGAACACUCUCACACACUCUGGUCUACUGAAACCUGAUAUGUCCAUUAGGUCCAACCAAAUAUUACCACUUCCGAAAAGCCUUCCUAGACCUUGACAGAGGUCUCCUCAACUAUAACUCCUAUGUCCUAACUUCCUAUAUUCUACAGUACAGAAUAGUUCAUUGUCAUGCUUGUGUGCAUAACUAGAAUGCUCCCUUUCUGAAGGCCAAGUUAAGAAAUCUAAUAAAUUCAAGUGUAUUUAAAUUUUUUUAAUCUCUCUGGCAAAAGGCCGAGCUUCCUCCUGCUACUUGAUAAAUGGCAAUGUGAGGUUUGCCAGCUAAAGGGAAAGACCUUCAAGAAUCCUUAUCCCAAAGGUAUGGAGAGGAGGAGGUGAAGAAAGAAGAAAAGGCUCUAAGAAAUUACCAAAGAUUUUUCUCUCUGAUCUUUAAUGAUAUAUGGCAUAUCUAGAACUCUAGCUUGUUGUGAUAUAGCACUGCAAAUUCAGGUUCUUGUGCUAGGUUCUUUUGUCCCCAAUUCAAGGCCCUUGCUUAGGCUUAAAGUGAAAGCUUUAAGUUCAGAAGGCUGCCAGGUUCUAAUACUCCCCAACCCCUUGCCAUUCCAUGCAAUGUUCACUGGGGUCCUAGCACACUGUGGGAUGCCCUGAUCCCCAAAUAAAUCUGAGAUAGGACAGAGCAGAGAGAGAGGAAGGGAAUUUGCAACCAACACUCCAGCUUUAUUUAUCACUUAGCCUGGGAAAGUACUGAGCUAACAAAAAAAGGAAAAAAAAAAAGCCAAGUUAUUUAAAGAGCAAGAGCUAAAACAUCAGAAACAUAAACUGUUUCUAAAUAAAAAAAAUAAAAUAAAAAGGGUGUGGAGCAUGAGACUUUUUUCAAAAGUAGAUUUCAUAUCUUAAGAAAACUGGAUUUUAAAUGAUAUUUUUGAAUGGACCAUGCAGCCCUGUUUAUUAAGACUUGGGGUUGUUCCCAAGACCUAUGUCUGACUUCCUGGGUUCAUGACAUUAGGUGGCCCUCUAGUUUUUCCAUUUGCGUAGCAGACACAGGUUAAUGAUAGUAUCUGCUUUUGCCUGAAGUGAGGCUGGUAAAAGAAACACAUAAAAAUGAUAAGGAUAAAUGGUCGUGUCUCAUCAAGUCUCGUUCUCCAUCAUUCUUCAGGCAAUAUUCCUUGGAAUUUAGGUUUCCUUAUUUAAAAACUACAUGCGGUAUUGGAUUAAAUGUAUGAAAAGAAUAAAACAACCAGUGAACAGUAAAGGUAAUCUCUGACUACAUUGGCUAAACUAAAAUGAAAUAGAAAUAUAGAAGACAUAUUAAGAAUGGCACUGUAUGCUUUCUCUGAUUAACAAAUUGGCCAGUUAUUCUGGCUUGGUGUAUGCACACCAAUAGCUUAUAAUCCCAGAGAGAGAAGACUGUCUGUACACAGAAUUCCUCAUAUUCUUAGUCUUAGACAUAUUCUUAGUCUUGAUUCUAUCUGCAAAGGUAAAUGCAGAAAUAGUUAUCAUUUCAUCAAUUACUUUCUCAGGAAAGAAAUAAAAUGAAAACAUAUUCCCUUUUUUCCUGCAUUGACUGCUAAAUAAUUGACUGACUAUGAUUCAAUAAACUAAGGCAUUUUAGACAAACAGCAGAAUUCAUUAAUUUGGAAGCUACUGGAUACAUGUGCUAAGUAACUAUAGGACUAUAACUACAGACAAAUUUCUGAUCUAAUACUAUAAAUGUAUCUGCAAAUAAGAGUCAACUACAGAAGGGAAUGAAUAAACCUGUCUCAAGAUAAUCAUAAAUCAUUUAUUUUCCUGAAUGUAAUAAAGUGCUUAUUACAUAGUUUGUAGUGGUACAUGUACAGGGUAGGAGCCCUGACUUUGUAGAUCCACAGACAAGGGUUCAAACCCUGGCUCUGCCAAAGCAUUUAGCAGCUCUGUAAUUUUAGGACAUCUACCUAGUCGCUUCCCGUCUGUUUCCUUUCUCAGAAAAUGAUGGUAUCUAUGUUACGGGACUGUUGUAAGAACUAAUUGAGGAGAUGCUAUGUAUCAUGCUAAACUUAGUGUCUGACACAAGUUACUUCUCAAUAAAUGUGCCUUCUAUUAUUAUGAUUAUUAAUGAGGAUAAAAAGUUGGACAGUCAAGAUAAUGCUUCUAACUGCAUAUUCUAUAGGAAAUUCAUAGAAUAAUCUAGCUCAAACACAUACACAAAACGAAAAUACUUCCCCUAUGCCCAACUGCGCUAGCAUUUCUGACUUGCUUCCAUGGCCCAUUUUGAUGCCUAUACAACUUUAAUGCAAAGAUUUCCUAUAUAUUCUUGGAAUUUUGUGAGUAUUAACUCCACUGAAUGGAAUGGGCUUUGUAUAGAAUCUUAUCAAUUAUUUUCCUUGAUGAUGGUUUUUCUAGUGGAGGUCUACCAAAGAAUGUCUGCAGUGACUUGGCAAUACCCUAAGCAUUUGAUUUCUCAAUCUUCUUAUGCCUUUCUGAGGGUCAUGGGCUGGGUCUAUGUAAUACUCUCUGCAGCACUGCAUGCAAUAGGAAAAUGCUUUUUGAGAUGGUGGAGAGCUCUGUUUUUCAUUAAGUGGCUUUGAACUUUGGCACGGCAAGUCCUGACGCUGAAUGUACCCUUCACAUCACCACAUAAUUCAAUUCAAACAGCUAAGUGAUUAUCUUUUCUCUCCAAGACAUGUGUGGGAGGGUGAUGGUGUUUCCCCUUGAGCCUUCUCGUGUGUCUUUAUUACCCCAGGCCAUUCUAACGAAAGGAUUCCACUAUUUCCUAAAUUCCUUCUGAUUCUUCUCUUCACUUGAUGUUUCAGCCCUGUGUGGUGAUGCUAGGGGGAAAAAAUCCAGCAAGUCAAAAAUGGGUUGGGAACAUAAUUCUCUACCAUGCUGCAUAAAAGAAGGAUGGAAUUGGCUUAAGUCCAAAGGUCAAAUAUAUACAGGCUUUCUUAUGGGAAAGGAAUGUCAAACCUGUUUAAAAGUCUUUUGAAGUGAGUUUACAACCCCAGACAUCCAAAAUUAACCAUCCAGCUGAAUCAUUCUGAAAUUUCCGUGAGCAAAGUUAAACUGAUUAGCUUUUCCAGGGUUAUCUGUUAUCAGAUAAACAAAGCAAUAUAUUUUACGUGAAUACCUUUGACCUAAAUGGCAUGGGGGGAGCACAAGAAGCUGAAAAGGUGCCCUCUGGGACAGCCCAAGGUUUUUCAUAGAUGGAAAAAGCAAU